rnacentral:rRNA from 1 species
AUUGAACGCUGGCGGCAUGCCUUACACAUGCAAGUCGAACGGUAACAGGUCUUCGGAUGCUGACGAGUGGCGAACGGGUGAGUAAUACAUCGGAACGUGCCUAGUAGUGGGGGAUAACUACUCGAAAGAGUGGCUAAUACCGCAUGAGAUCUACGGAUGAAAGCAGGGGAUCGCACGACCGUGUGCUACCAGAGCGGCCGAUGGCAGAUUAGGUAGUUGGUGGGAUAAAAGCUUACCAAGCCGACGAUCUGUAGCUGGUCUGAGAGGACGAUCAGCCACACUGGGACUGAGACACGGCCCAGACUCCUACGGGAGGCAGCAGUGGGGAAUUUUGGACAAUGGGCGCAAGCCUGAUCCAGCAAUGCCGCGUGCAGGAUGAAGGCCUUCGGGUUGUAAACUGCUUUUGUACGGAACGAAAAGCCCCGGGUUAAUACCCUGGGGUCAUGACGGUACCGUAAGAAUAAGCACCGGCUAACUACGUGCCAGCCGCCGCAGUAA